CCUACGGGUGGCAGCAGUGAGGAAUAUUGGUCAAUGGACGAGAGUCUGAACCAGCCAAGUAGCGUGAAGGAUGACUGCCCUAUGGGUUGUAAACUUCUUUUAUAUGGGAAUAAAAUGUUCCACGUGUGGGAUUUUGUAUGUAACAUAUGAAUAAGCAUCGGCUAACUCCGUGCCAGCAGCCGCGGUAAUACGGAGGAUCCGAGCGUUAUCCGGAUUUAUUGGGUUUAAAGGGAGCGUAGGUGGAUUCUUAAGUCAGUUGUGAAAGUUUGCGGCUCAACCGUAAAAUUGCAGUUGAAACUGGCAGUCUUGAGUACAGUAGAGGUGUGCGGAAUUCGUGGUGUAGCGGUGAAAUGCUUAGAUAUCACGAAGAACUCCGAUUGCGAAGGCAGUUCACUGGACUGCAACUGACACUGAGGCUCGAAAGUGUGGGUAUCAAACAGGAUUAGAUACCCUUGUAGUC
rnacentral:rRNA from 1 species